AUGCUAUCUGGUGUCAGCCCAAUGCAGACUGAGGCGCGCUGUGCCCGGAACCACAGGAAGCCGGGCAUCUCUGCAGCCUGUGUCCCUGCCAGCUCCCCCCACGCGCUGAAAUUCGGCAGGGAAGAAGUUAUGGUGCCCAGCCUCUGUGUGCAAGACAGAGACACCGCGCAUCAUGGCUCUGAAAAUCAGCCAACUGGCCGGGACGUCAGAGCGGCAGAGCAAUCAGAAUGCCCUGGAGCCGGGGAUGGAGGGGCCACAUUGUUUGAGCCCUCGGAUUUUGCUGCAUUGUCACCGCCCGGGAACGUAGGGGUAGCAGGAAGCGCACCUCCAGCCAAAAAUGGACCGGACGCAUUUUUUCCCCCGGUGGCUCCCUCCCUGCCUGUAUGCAAGUCGCAAUACGGGAGACCACCACUAUGUGGGAGAGAGAAAAGUUGCUCUUCUUGGAAAAGGUAAGAUUUACUUUUUGUUUUGAAUAAGACUUGAAUACAAUGUUUGGCAAUGCUGAAGAACAAAUAACAAUGUAAUGGUUUUACAAUUAAAUGAGUCUUCUUUUAUAUAUUUUGAACAGCCCUAUGUUAAUUAUAAGCGGGGCCACCAACAGUCUCAGGAAACUUAUUCCAUGUAAAAUUCCUCUUCCCAGUGGGCUCUUUCCAUUGUCAUUCACCUGCAUACGUCUAAGUCUCUUGAGUCUCAUCUUUAAAAAAAUCUUACUAGUAAACAUGUUGAUUCUUAGACUGCUUAUGUAGUAUAAAUAUUUUCCCAGUUUAUCGUAUUUGGAUGUCUUACAUAUCAUCAUUUUAAAAUGUGUAUAUACUUCCAGAAAUCUUUUUGCUUUUCAGUGUUGUGCACUGAGGAUCGUAUGUCAAAUGACCUUCAAUUUCUCGUCUUCUUCCUGCUCCCCAAGGUUGUAUGUUCUCCCAUAUUUUCUUCUUGAACUUUAAAUUGUGCUAUUUUUUCCAUUUAAUUAUUUAGCUUAUUGGAAUUUAUUUUACUAUAUGGCAUGAAAUGCUAUUAAUAUCUAACCUUUCCUCUAGAAUGGAACCAGAUAUUAUAACUUAAUCUUACUAUAUGGUGUGAAAUCGUAUCUAACAUUUUCUGCUAGAACUUAACCAAAUUUUAUAACUUAAUCUGUUGACCAAUCACUUUCCUGCUUUUUCAUAAAUGAUGCCGUUCAGUGAAUUAUCACCACGUGAACACAUUCAUAAAAACACCAUCCAGCCCAAGAAAUAAAACACUGCCAGCAUCUGGGAUGCCCCCACCAAGUCUUUUUCAGGCACUGUAUAUCAGCAGUGACCAGUUUGUGCUAGAAUGGAAAAAUAAUAAUAAUUACUGUACGUUUACUAGUCCUGAUAGUAUCAUAUAGGUAGUAAUAUAGGUCUAUACUACUAAAUAUAGUGGAAAGUAUCUUUCUUCUAUUUGUGAUAGUUUCCAUUUCCAUGUAAAUUAAAGAAUCCUCUUCAACCUCCUCUCCCCCAAACAUUUAAAUAUUGAUUGGGAUUACAUUGUAUCUUAUAUUAGUUGCAGGGCACACUGAAAUUUUUGCUAUAUUGAAUGUUCAUAUGCCUCUUCUUAAAGUAUUUAAUUCCUGCAAUAGUGCUUCAGAUUCUGUGAAGAACUUUUCAUUAUCUUUUGUUAGUUUUAUUUUUAUGUAUCAGAUGUUUAGACAUUAUUUUAAAAAUUUUAAUUUAUAUUUGUUUGUUGCUGGUAUAUAGAAAUAAAGUUGAUUUUUUAAAAUCUGGUUUCCAUAGACCUUGGUAAUUCAUGUAUUAAUUAUAAUGAUUUAUCAGUAUUUUUUAAGGUAAUUACAAAUACACAAUCUUACCAUCUGAGAACAGUGAGAGUUUUCUUUCUACCGUUUUAAUCCUUUAUCUCUUAUUUCUUUUUCUUGUCUAAUUACACUAAGACCUCCAGUACAAUAUUGAAUAAAAGUCAAAUAGGCAGAAAUCUUUAUCUGGUUCCCAGUCUCAGAAAGCUUCCAACAUUUUACCAUUUGACUGUUCAGAGAUCUGCUAUAGGUUUUUGCAGAUACUCUACGUUAAGGAGUUAAUUCUCCUCUCUCCCUAAUAUACUGAGAGUCUUUUCCCCCUCAAUAAAUG
ensembl:lincRNA